ensembl:lncRNA
GUAGAAUUUUCUACUGGGUCUCCAGAGUAAGCCUUGCUCAACCAGACUGCCUUUCACUGUCCAACAGUGGGGAGCGGUAGUAGGGAAGCCUCAUCAUGGGUCCUGCUGAGCCAACCUGUCCCACCACACCACACCCCAUACUGCGUUCUGUGUGGCUAUCACACAGCAUAUCCUUGGUUUUAUAAAACACAUCACCCAGCGCUCUUGCUGUCUCUGUGUUUACAGGGCUUGGAUUACAGCACCAUUUGUAUGUGGGUACUCAGGGUGAAAACUCUGAUCUUCAUGCUUAACAUGCCAAGCACUCUGCCCAGUGAGAGCCACUUCCCCAGCCCAAGGAUGUUGCUUCUAAUGAGGCCCUUCUGUAACCACCGGAGCAACCUGGAGGAGAAUCACUCACAGCUUCUGCUGACUUGCCCAUUAGGGACAUGCAACCUAUGAAUUGAAGGAGCAAGAGAAAAUUUGGGAGAGAACACCUAUCAGACAGCAGGGAAAAUGCAGACAAGCACUCGGAGUUCUCCACGGAAAUGAUGAUGCAGGCCCCUGGAAAAUGCCGACUGUC